UACGUAGGUGACAAGCGUUGUCCGGAAUUAUUGGGCGUAAAGAGCUCGUAGGCGGUCUGUUGCGUCCGCUGUGAAAACUCGGGGCUUAACCCCGAGCCUGCAGUGGAUACGGGCAGACUAGAGGUAGGUAGGGGAGAAUGGAAUUCCCGGUGUAGCGGUGAAAUGCGCAGAUAUCGGGAGGAACACCGGUGGCGAAGGCGGUUCUCUGGGCCUUACCUGACGCUGAGGAGCGAAAGCGUGGGGAGCGAACAGG
rnacentral:rRNA from 1 species